ACCUAAUAGAUACCCUGGUAGUCCACGCUGUAAACGAUGAGAACUAGACGUUGGAAGGAUCUGCCUUUCAGUGUCGCAGCUAACGCGUUAAGUUCUCCGCCUGGGGAGUACGGCCGCAAGGUUGAAACUCAAAGGAAUUGACGGGGGCCCGGCACAAGCGGUGGAGUAUGUGGUUUAAAUUCGAUGCAACGCGAAGAACCUUACCUGGUCUUGACAUCCUGGGAACCCGUCGCAGAGAUGCGGGGAGGUGCCUUCGGGUAGGCCCACGAGACAGGUGCUGCAUGGCGUGUCGUCAGCUCGUGUCGUGAGAUGUUGGGUUAAGUCCCGCAACGAGCGC
rnacentral:rRNA from 1 species